rnacentral:tRNA from 1 species
GGGGCUGUGGCUGAGUAGUAGGACAUCUGUUUGGCACACAAAAGGUCCCUGGUUCAACCCCCGGCUUCCCCA